CAUUUGUCUCUUGACUCUUCAUAUGUCAUACGUGAUCUUCUUGUCUUAUUUUUGUUAGAUAUAUAAUUAUGGACUUUCUUGUACAGUCCCUCAAUCCAUGAAGUGAGAUUGCUAAUUUGUGGUUCAUAUUCCAUCAAAUUAUAUUUAUAUAUGAUGAAAUAUGGUCCAAAAUUGCAACUUCGGCAACUCUCACUACCGCCAAGUAGCUUAGAAUCGUUACACAAACUCAGCAAACCUCUUAUCAUUAUGUAGACGUCCAAAGCACCCUUCAAAACCUCUCCGAGAGCCCAAAAUUCAUGCGAAGACCAAUAAUCCAAAAUGUAUAUACAUGGUAGAAAUGAAGAGUUAUUUCAUGGCAAAAGUGGGAACCUGAGUUUUCUAAUUAGCCAAAAACAGGCACCGCGCGCCAUGGCCACCGGCAUCGUCACCGCCGCAACCACCAUCACCGUCACAGACAUUUAUUCAUCGAAAGGUAAAUUCCUCUUUCAUCUCUCCAAUGAGUUAUAUUUGGACUGCUCAACAAUAAUAUUGGAUUGACGAAUGGAGAUUCGACUUCCUGAAGGGAUAUUCCCUGGCAUCGAAGAUUAACAUGGAAAAUAAUGGCUUACUCACUCACUAACAAUUACAUAUGUGGAACACAUACAUACACUGCUCAAUUGUUAUGGGUACCUUAUCUGGCUUGCAGUCUAGCUAUUUAAUAGAAUUCCUAACUGAUAUGCUAAUGGACAAUCAACUUUUACUGAGCCA